rnacentral:rRNA from 1 species
AGCUGGUUCUCCCCGAAAGCUAUUUAGGUAGCGCCUCGUGAAUUCAUCUCCGGGGGUAGAGCACUGUUUCGGCAAGGGGGUCAUCCCGACUUACCAACCCGAUGCAAACUGCGAAUACCGGAGAAUGUUAUCACGGGAGACACACGGCGGGUGCUAACGUCCGUCGUGAAGAGGGAAACAACCCAGACCGCCAGCUAAGGUCCCAAAGUCAUGGUUAAGUGGGAAACGAUGUGGGAAGGCCCAGACAGCCAGGAUGUUGGCUUAGAAGCAGCCAUCAUUUAAAGAAAGCGUAAUAGCUCACUGGUCGAGUCGGCCUGCGCGGAAGAUGUAACGGGGCUAAACCAUGCACCGAAGCUGCGGCAGCGACGCUGAUGCGUUGUUGGGUAGGGGAGCGUUCUGUAAGCCUGUGAAGGUGUGCUGUGAGGCAUGCUGGAGGUAUCAGAAGUGCGAAUGCUGACAUAAGUAACGAUAAAGCGGGUGAAAAGCCCGCUCGCCGGAAGACCAAGGGUUCCUGUCCAACGUUAAUCGGGGCAGGGUGAGUCGACCCCUAAGGCGAGGCCGAAAGGCGUAGUCGAUGGGAAACAGGUUAAUAUUCCUGUACUUGGUGUUACUGCGAAGGGGGGACGGAGAAGGCUAUGUUGGCCGGGCGACGGUUGUCCCGGUUUAAGCGUGUAGGCUGGUUUUCCAGGCAAAUCCGGAAAAUCAAGGCUGAGGCGUGAUGACGAGGCACUACGGUGCUGAAGCAACAAAUGCCCUGCUUCCAGGAAAAGCCUCUAAGCAUCAGGUAACAUCAAAUCGUACCCCAAACCGACACAGGUGGUCAGGUAGAGAAUACCAAGGCGCUUGAGAGAACUCGGGUGAAGGAACUAGGCAAAAUGGUGCCGUAACUUCGGGAGAAGGCACGCUGAUAUGUAGGUGAAGCGACUUGCUCGUGGAGCUGAAAUCAGUCGAAGAUACCAGCUGGCUGCAACUGUUUAUUAAAAACACAGCACUGUGCAAACACGAAAGUGGACGUAUACGGUGUGACGCCUGCCCGGUGCCGGAAGGUUAAUUGAUGGGGUCAGCGCAAGCGAAGCUCUUGAUCGAAGCCCCGGUAAACGGCGGCCGUAACUAUAACGGUCCUAAGGUAGCGAAAUUCCUUGUCGGGUAAGUUCCGACCUGCACGAAUGGCGUAAUGAUGGCCAGGCUGUCUCCACCCGAGACUCAGUGAAAUUGAACUCGCUGUGAAGAUGCAGUGUACCCGCGGCAAGACGGAAAGACCCCGUGAACCUUUACUAUAGCUUGACACUGAACAUUGAGCCUUGAUGUGUAGGAUAGGUGGGAGGCUUUGAAGUGUGG